rnacentral:rRNA from 1 species
CAAUAGCGUAUAUUAAAGUUGUUGCAGUUAAAAAGCUCGUAGUUGAAUUUCUGUCAGGAGUGACCGGGCCUUUGGAUGAACUUCCAUUGUUUUUUGCUCUGUUUGUCAUCUCUAGACAUCCUGAAAUAUUUUUUAAAAAUAUUUCUCUUUUACUGUUAGCAAAAUAGAGUGUUCCAAGCAAAGCGUAGUUUUGAAUACAUUAGAAUGGAAUAGUAAGAUAGGACUUUGGUGCUAUUUUGUUGGUUUGCACACCAAGGUAAUGAUUAAUAGGGACAGUUGGGGGUAUUCGUAUUUAAUUGUCAGAGGUGAAAUUCUUGGAUUUAUGAAAGACGAACUACUGCGAAAGCAUUUACCAAGGAUGUUUUCAUUAA